rnacentral:rRNA from 1 species
GAUGAACGCUGGCGGCGUGCCUAAUACAUGCAAGUCGAGCGAACGGACGCUAAGCUUGCUUCUCUGAUGUUAGCGGCGGACGGGUGAGUAACACGUGGAUCACCUACCUAUAUGACUGGGAUAACUUCGAGAAACCGGAUCUAAUACCGGAUAAUAUUUUGAACCGCAUGGUUCAAUAGUAAAUGACGGUCUUGCUGUCACUUCUAGCUGCAUCCGCGCUUCAUUAGCUAGUUGGUAAGUUAACGGCUUACCAAGGCAACGAGGCGUAGCCGACCUGACAGGGUGGUCGGCCACCCUGGAACGGAGACACCGACCAGGGUCCUGAGGGAGGGAGCAGUAGGGAAUCUUCCGCAAUGGGGGAAAACCUGACGGAGCAACGCGGCGCGAGAGAUGAAGGUCUUCGGAUCGUAAAAAUCUGUUAUUAGGGGAGAACAUAUGUGUAAGUAACUGUGCACAUCGUGACGGUACCGAAUCAGAAAGCCACGGCUAACUACGUG